AACGAACGCUGGCGGCAGGCUUAACACAUGCAAGUCGAACGCCCCGCAAGGGGAGUGGCAGACGGGUGAGUAACGCGCGGGAACAUACCCUUUCCUGCGGAAUAGCUCCGGGAAACUGGAAUUAAUACCGCAUACGCCCUACGGGGAAAGAUUUAUCGGGGAAGGAUUGGCCCGCGUUGGAUUAGCUAGUUGGUGGGGUA
rnacentral:rRNA from 1 species